UGCUGGAAUGCUUUAUGCGUCAAAUGGAUUCGUCUGCCCAAGGAUGGGUCUGCGGCCUAUCAGGUAGUAGUGGGUGUAAUGUACCUACUAGCCAACGACGGGUACGGGUUGUGAGAGCAAGAGCCCGGAGAUGGAUUCUGAGACAUGAAUCCAGGCCCUACGGGGCGCAGCAGGCGCGAAAACUUUACAAUGCGGGAAACCGUGAUAAGGGGACACCGAGUGCCAGCAUCAUAUGCUGGCUGUCCAGGUGUUUAAACUACACCUGUUAGCAAGGGCCGGGCAAGACCGGUGCCAGCCGCCGCGGUAACACCGGCGGCCCGAGUGGUGAUCGUGAUUAUUGGGUCUAAAGGGUCCGUAGCCGGUUUGGUCAGUCCUCCGGGAAAUCUGAUAGCUUAACUAUUAGGCUUUCGGGGGAUACUGCCAGGCUUGGAACCGGGAGAGGUAAGAGGUACUACAGGGGUAGGAGUGAAAUCUUGUAAUCCCUGUGGGACCACCUGUGGCGAAGGCGUCUUACCAGAACGGGUUCGACGGUGAGGGACGAAAGCUGGGGGCACGAACCGGAUUAGAUACCCGGGUAGUCCCAGCCGUAAACGAUGCUCGCUAGGUGUCAGGCAUGGCGCGACCGUGUCUGGUGCC
rnacentral:rRNA from 1 species